UCUACACCCCUCUGAAUCUACCCCAUCCUGUCUGACCUUGGAGGCUAAGCAGUGCCAGGCCCAGUUAACACUUGAAUGGGAGACAGUACAGGAUAGGGAAUGAA
rnacentral:rRNA from 1 species